rnacentral:rRNA from 1 species
UACGAAGGGGACUAGCGUUGUUCGGAAUCACUGGGCGUAAAGGGCGCGUAGGCGGCCUGAUAAGUAGGGGGUGAAAUCCUGUGGCUUAACUGCAGGGCUGCCUCCUAGACUGUUAGGCUCGAGCACGGUAGAGGCAGAUGGAAUUCCCGGUGUAGCGGUGGAAUGCGUAGAGAUCGGGAAGAACAUCGGUGGCGAAGGCGGUCUGCUGGGCCGUUGCUGACGCUGAGGAGCGAAAGCGUGGGGAGCGAACAGG